AUGGAGGGGGGAGCCGCCGGCGCAGGCCCCGCCCCCCAGAGCCGCCGCCGCCUCCGGCUCCGGCGGUGGCGGGGAGAAGGGCGCCCCGUGCCAGGAGUGCGGGGAGCAGCCGUGGAAGUACCGGUGCCCGGGCUGCUCCCGCCUCACCUGCAGCCUCCCCGGCGUGCAGGCCCACAAGCGCCCCCGCACCGUCCCCGUCCCGCUCGCCCAGUUCGACGACAACCAGCUCCUCUCCGAUUACAACUUGCUGGAGGAGACGAGCAUGGUCAGGGAGUCGGCCCACAGGCUGCUCGGCGGCUUCGGCCGCAACUUCGGCUGCGGCAUCGAGGAACGCCAUGGCGCGCAGCUGCCGCCGUGGCUCACCUUCCUCCGCAAGGCCGCGGAGCGCCGGGGUGUCCGGCUGGCCGUCCAAACCUGAAUUUUCCAUGGACCAUGUUUGUAACUUGUAUGUGUUGCUUUUGUUGCUUCAGUCUUCAGUUUACCAGGAGAUACUAG
rnacentral:rRNA from 1 species